rnacentral:rRNA from 1 species
AGUGAACGCUGGCGGUAGGCCUAACACAUGCCAGUCGAACGGCAGCACAGUAAGAGCUUGCUCUUACGGGUGGCGAGUGGCGGACGGGUGAGGAAUACAUCGGAAUCUACUUUUUCGCGGGGGAUAACGUAGGGAAACUUACGCUAAUACCGCAUACGACCUACGGGUGAAAGCAGGGGAUCUUCGGACCUUGCGCGAUUGAAUGAGCCGAUGUCGGAUUAGCUAGUUGGCGGGGUAAAGGCCCACCAAGGCGACGAUCCGUAGCUGGUCUGAGAGGAUGAUCAGCCACCCUGGAACUGAGACACGGUCCAGACUCCUACGGGAGGCAGCAGUGGGGAAUAUUGGACAAUGGGCGCAAGCCUGAUCCAGCCAUACCGCGUGGGUGAAGAAGGCCUUCGGGUUGUAAAGCCCUUUUGUUGGGAAAGAAAAGCAGCAGGUUAAUACCCCGCUGUUCUGACGGUACCCAAAGAAUAAGCACCGGCUAACUUCGUG